rnacentral:snoRNA from 1 species
AAGUUAUGGUGUGGGCACUUCCUUGAUAGGUCUUUGUAUAUCUCUCAAAUUUCAUACAAACUCUCUUGAUCAUGGUGAGCAAAGGUCAUUAUCUCAUUUCAAAGCUU